rnacentral:rRNA from 1 species
CAGGCCUAACACAUGCAAGUCGAACGAUGCUUUCGGGCAUAGUGGCGCACGGGUGCGUAACGCGUGGGAAUCUGCCCUUGGGUUCGGAAUAACGGUGGGAAACUACCGCUAAUACCGGAUGAUGACGUAAGUCCAAAGAUUUAUCGCCCAGGGAUGAGCCCGCGUAGGAUUAGCUAGUUGGUGGGGUAAAGGCCUACCAAGGCGACGAUCCUUAGCUGGUCUGAGAGGAUGAUCAGCCACACUGGGACUGAGACACGGCCCAGACUCCUACGGGAGGCAGCAGUGGGGAAUAUUGGACAAUGGGCGAAAGCCUGAUCCAGCCAUGCCGCGUGAGUGAUGAGGGCCCUAGGGUUGUAAAGCUCUUUUACCUGGGAAGAUAAUGACGGUACCAGGAGAAUAAGCCCCGGCUAACUUCGUGCCAGCAGCCGCGGUAAU